AAGCUUUACUGUAGCUUGGUAUUGUGCCCGGGCUCGCAAUGCGCAGGAUAGGUGGGAGGCUUUGAUCAUCGGCUUGCGGGUCGAUGAGAGCCAACGGUGAGAUACCACUCUUUGCGAGCUAGGGUUCUAACGGUCACCCGUUAUCCGGGGACCGGACAGUAUCAGGUGGGCAGUUUGACUGGGGCGGUCGCCUCCUAAAAGGUAACGGAGGCGCGCAAAGGUUCCCUCGGUCCCGUUGGAAAUGGGACGAUAGAGUGCAAAAGCAGAAGGGAGCUUGACUGUGAGACCCACAAGUCGAACAGGGACGAAAGUCGGCUUUAGUGAUCCGACGGCACCGCGUGGAAGGGCCGUCGCUCAACGGAUAAAAGUUACUCUAGGGA
rnacentral:rRNA from 1 species